rnacentral:rRNA from 1 species
UACAGAGGUGGCAAGCGUUGUUCGGAAUUACUGGGCGUAAAGCGUGCGCAGGCGGUUCGUUAAGUUCGAUGUGAAAGCCCCGGGCUCAACCUGGGAACUGCAUUGGAAACUGGCGGGCUUGAGUGUGGCAGAGGGGGGUGGAAUUCCACGUGUAGCAGUGAAAUGCGUAGAGAUGUGGAGGAACACCGAUGGCGAAGGCAGCCCCCUGGGCUAACACUGACGCUCAGGCACGAAAGCGUGGGGAGCAAACAGG